rnacentral:rRNA from 1 species
AGAGGGUGCGAGCGUUAAUCGGAAUUACUGGGCGUAAAGCGCACGUAGGCGGCUUGGCAUGUCGGGUGUGAAAUCCCCGGGCUCAACCUGGGAACUGCAUCCGAAACUGCCUUGCUAGAGUAUGGGAGAGGGAAGUGGAAUUUCCGGUGUAGCGGUGAAAUGCGUAGAUAUCGGAAGGAACAUCAGUGGCGAAGGCGACUUCCUGGACCAAUACUGACGCUCAGGUGCGAAAGCGUGGGGAGCAAACAGGAUUAGAUACCCUGGUAGUCCACGCCCUAAACGAUGACAACUAGAUGUCGGGAGGGUUUGCCUUCCGGUGUCGUAGCUAACGCGUUAAGUUGUCCGCCUGGGAAGUACGGCCGCAAGGUUG